GCAUCUUUCUUCUCUUCUGGAGGAUCCCAACUGUAAACUGGAGAAACUAAGCCUGAGAGACUGCAGUAUUGCAGAAGAGGGCUUCAGUUCUCUUGCAUCAGCACUGAGAUCAAACCCCUCACACAUGAGAGUGCUGUGGCUGAAUGGGAGUAAGACAGGAGACUUAGGAGUGAAGCAUCUUUCUUCUCUUCUGGAGGAUCCCAACUGUAAACUGGAGACACUAAACCUGUCAAACUGCAGUAUUACAGAAGAGGGCUUCAGUUCUCUUGCAUCAG